UCGAGAAUCUUCCGCAAUGGACGCAAGUCUGACGGAGCGACGCCGCGUGCGGGAUGAAGGCCUUCGGGUUGUAAACCGCUGUCAGUGGGGAGGAAAUUUUGACCGAACCGCAGAGGAAGUCCGGGCUAAGUACGUGCCAGCAGCCGCGGUAAUACGUACCGGACGAACGUUAUUCGGAAUCACUGGGCUUAAAGAGUGCGUAGGCGGCCUGGUAGGUGGGGUGUGAAAGCCCACGGCUCAACCGUGGAAUUGCGCUCCAAACCACUAGGCUUGAGGGAGACAGGGGUGAGCGGAACUGAUGGUGGAGCGGUGAAAUGCGUUGAUAUCAUCAGGAACACCGGUGGCGAAGGCGGCUCACUGGGUCUCUUCUGACGCUGAGGCACGAAAGCUAGGGUAGCGAACGGGAUUAGAUACCCCCGUAGUCC
rnacentral:rRNA from 1 species